rnacentral:rRNA from 1 species
AGUGAACGCUGGCGGUAGGCCUAACACAUGCAAGUCGAACGGCAGCACAGUAAGAGCUUGCUCUUACGGGUGGCGAGUGGCGGACGGGUGAGGAAUACAUCGGAAUCUACUUUUUCGUGGGGGAUAACGUAGGGAAACUUACGCUAAUACCGCAUACGACCUACGGGUGAAGGCAGGGGAUCUUCGGACCUUGCGCGAUUGAAUGAGCCGAUGUCGGAUUCGCUAGUUGGCGGGGUAAAGGCCCACCAAGGCGACGAUCCGUAGCUGGUCUGAGAGGAUGAUCAGCCACACUGGAACUGAGACACGGUCCAGACUCCUACGGGAGGCAGCAGUGGAGAAUAUUGGACAAUGGGCGCAAGCCUGAUCCAGCCAUACCGCGUGGGUGAAGAAGGCCUUCGGGUUGUAAAGCCCUUUUGUUGGGAAAGAAAAGCAGCAGGUUAAUACCCCGCUGUUCUGACGGUACCCAAAGAAUAAGCACCGGCUAACUUCGUG